rnacentral:rRNA from 1 species
GAUGAACGCUGGCGGCGUGCCUAAUACAUGCAAGUCGAGCGAACAGACGAGGAGCUUGCUCCUCUGACGUUAGCGGCGGACGGGUGAGUAACACGUGGAUAACCUACCUAUAAGACUGGGAUAACUUCGGGAAACCGGAGCUAAUACCGGAUAAUAUAUUGAACCGCAUGGUUCAAUAGUGAAAGACGGUUUUGCUGUCACUUAUAGAUGGAUCCGCGCCGCAUUAGCUAGUUGGUAAGGUAACGGCUUACCAAGGCGACGAUGCGUAGCCGACCUGAGAGGGUGGUCGGCCACCCUGGAACUGAGACACGGUCCAGACUCCUACGGGAGGCAGCAGUAGGGAAUCUUCCGCAAUGGGCGAAAGCCUGACGGAGCAACGCCGCGUGAGUGAUGAAGGUCUUCGGAUCGUAAAACUCUGUAAUUAGGGAAGAACAAAUGUGUAAGUAACUAUGCCCGUCUUGACGGUACCUAAUCAGAAAGCCCCGGCUAACUACGUG